rnacentral:lncRNA from 1 species
CAGCAAGUUUAAAUACAACAAUAUAAGGAUAUAUCAUGAUUGAAGAGUAUGAAUAAUAAGCUGGCUAUAAUUCAUCAAUAUAAUUGAGAACUAGCAGGAACAAACUUUUGACUGAACAAGUUUUAAACAUGAACAAACAUUUCUAAACCAACUGGUAAUGAAGGUGAUCAGCCUUUCAUACCUGACUUAUACAUGCAAGAUGUACAGAGUACAAUUUUUAUGGCAAUCAGCAAUGAUAAACCAUAAGUUUGAAUAAAACACUCUUAUUAGAGUUAAGUAAGAACAAACUUGCCUGAACCGUUGAUUACCGCAACGCAAUUUAUAUCGCUUUACCCGAAGACCUAAUAUUAAUAAUAUAGAUCUCCAAUAUUAGAAUAAUAUCAUCACAGUAUAAUACUGUUAUAUUUAAAUACAAAGAAUAACCUAAACACAUAACACAUAACCCUAUAAGUCUAUACAGCACAUAAUACUUAGCAUCAAGUCAAACUAUUUCAGUCUGACUUAAUACCGACACAAUUCUAUCAUCCCGACGGUCUAGUCGGACGAAUAUCGAGUUUAAGUUCAAUUAAACUCUGCCUAAACACUUAACAAUUAUCACAGAUAAUUUUCUAAUCAGUCAAAACAUUUUUCCUAGGCUCGUAAUAAUUUUCGAAUAAUUAUUACCAUUUAUCAUGAUUUUCCAAUCAUUAAAACCUUAUUUAACUAAAUUAAAUACUACAUAAUUCCUUAAUCAUUAAUAUUCAUAUAUAAAAUAUUAAUGAAAAUCAUUGCAUAAUAUUAUAAUAUAAUUAUAAUAUCAUAAAGUAUUUUUAAUAUCUUAAAAUCAUAAUUAUAUGAUUUUUAAACACUUAAAUCUAUUAUCCGAUAAUUAAUAUUAAUAUUACAAUAUUAAUAUUUUCAUGCCAAAAUAUCAAAAGUUAUAUUUUAUAACUUAAAAUAUUUUUAUAACACUUAAAUCAUUUUUAUAUGAUUUUAAAAACAUUAAUUCUAUUUUUCCUUAAUUUAUUUAAUAUAUUUAUUAAAUAAACUAAUUACCAUUAAUAAUAAAUUAUUAAUGAAAUUUAUCACAAAAUAUUAAAAGUCAUCAAAAAUAACUUAAAAUAUUUUCUUUUACCAUAAUAUUAUUUUUCAUGAUUUUUCAUGAAUUAAAAACUAUUUUUCAUAAUUUAUUUAAUAUUAUAAUUAAAUAAAUAAAUACCUUUUAUAUUCCCAAAAAUAUUAAAUAUUUUUGAAAUAUAUCCAAAAUAAUUAAAAACUAUUUUUCAGCAUUUAAAAUAAUUUUUCAGAAUUUAAUAUGUAUUUUUAAUAAUUAAAAACCAUUUUUUUCAAUUUUUUAUUAAUUUUCUGCAUUUUCCGAAAAUAAGCGUCGCUAAAGGGUUCUUGGGCGACAAAAGUGUCGCUAAUUGUGUUCUUGGUGUUCUUGGCCAAUUUCCAGAUCUUCAUGUCAGAUUACAGGGUUGAUGGUUUGACUGAGUCUAAAAUUUUGAUGUUUAUGAUUCUGGGUCAUGUUAAACAUUGAUCGUGUAGGGUUUAUGUAAUACUACAAUUACCAACUUGUUUCAUGUCNNNNNNNNNNNNNNNNNNNNNNNNNNNNNNNNNNNNNNNNNNNNNNNNNNNNNNNNNNNNNNNNNNNNNNNNNNNNNNNNNNNNNNNNNNNNNNNNNNNNAGGUGAUCAGCCUUUCAUACCUGACUUAUACAUGCAAGAUGUACAGAGUACAAUUUUCAUGGCAAUCAGCAAUGAUUAACCAUAAGCUUGAAGCUCUUGAACAAUCAGGGUUUUCCCAGAUUUGUUCUUCCGGCAGAAAGUCAACCAUGGUUUGACCAUACUUAUAUCCGUUUUGGUUUAUGCUCUUGGUAAAAUAAAUGUUUAUAUAUAUAGCCUACACACUAGCAUACGGCAAGAUCUAAGGCACAGAAAAUAUUGUCAGGCGAGAUCUGAGUUUCUGGGUUGCCCAGAAACCAGAUUUCGUGACUGGUCAACGCGGUUUGACCGCUUAUAUCUUUCGAUCUACACUUGAUCCGACCAUGAUUCCAGUUUUAGAUCACAGUGCUCAUGACAUAGAACACAUCAAAAACAUAAAACAACACUAACCCUUAACAGACACGGAUUUAAAGGCCCUGACAUUCGACUGUCAGAACACUUUUUUUGAAAAAUUUCCAGAUUUACAAAAUUGCUAGAUUCGAGCACUUUGAUGUUAGGGAUAUGGGAUUUUACAACCCAGAUCACUAAUAGACACCUUAAUACACAACUUUGACCGCUCAAUUUUAACAUAUAACAUAAGAUCAAGAGAUUUUGAAAUUUAGGGUUCUUUACCAUUUUGAGCUUUGAUUUUGAUUUUCUGACUUCUGAUUCUGUUCCUUGGUUGCUAUGAACUGAUUAUGCUUCAUCUCAUCACUCUAUAUCUUUCUAACUCCCGAAUUUUAGAGAGAGAAAAUGGCUUGGACAAAAUGAAAAUAAAGAAUGAAUUUUUCUCUCUCUUUAAUCUCUUAUAUUCUACAAAUGCAAUGUAUAUUACUUAUCUAGCUGCUGAUCUAGGCUGAUAUAAUAGAUAUAUGUCAUAUACUAGACUUAGGGUUGUUCACCAACCCAUUUUAGGGCUAGACUUACAAGCCAUCCAUUAAAGAAUGCAAUAAGGGCAUUUUUGUCAUUUCCAUUUAUUCUAGAAUUUGCCAAAUGAUAAAACCCUUAGGGUUUAGGGUUUGAGAAAUCUAGGGUUUAGGGUUUGGACAAAUUUAGGGUUUAGGUUUUAACCCUUAAAUAUUUAGCAACUUGGAUUUCAAAAAUUUUCUAAUUAAAUUUUAAAAAUAGAAAAUUUUGAUUUCUAAUUAUAAUUAGGGCUUCCUAAUUAUAUCAUAAUUUCCUAAUCAUGAAUCAUUAUUUGCUAAUUAGGACUAUUUUAUCCUAAUUAAAAUUGCUAAUUAAGCACUUAGGGUCAAAUUUGUACAUUAUAAUUUAUAACCCAAAAAUUAGGGUUUUAAAUAUAAAAAUAAUAUUUCAAUUUUUUAGAAAUUAGAUUUCCCAAUUAGAUUAGGGUUUCUAAUAACUUGACAAUUAGGAUUUAUAUUUCCUAAUUAACAUUGCAAUUAUAGCAAUUAAAUCCACCACUGUACAAUUAGGGUUCAAAAUGGUCAUUAGGGUUUUCAACCCACAAAUUAGGGUUUCUAAUAGAAAAUAAUUUUCUAAUAUAAAAUUUAAAUAUUCGUAAUUAGAUUAGGGUUUUCUAAUUACUUAACAUUAAAAAUUAGGAUUAAUAUAUCCUAAUUAACAUUAAAUUACUAAAUUAACACUUUCAUUUUCCCCCUUUACAAAUUAGGGUUUCAAAUCCAUCAUUAGGGUUUCUGACGGAAAAGUUUAAGUUCGAUAAUUUGAAAUUAGGGUUUGCUAAUUAAUUAAGCGUUACCCUAAUUAAUAUUAUAAUAAUAGCAGUAGAGCAUUAUAAUUCUCCAUUAAUUUCCCAGAUUAGGGCUUCAAUUUAUCAGAAUCUGAAACUAGGGUUUUCAGAUCAAGUAUUAGGGUUUCAGAUUUGGAAUUAGGGUUUUGUAAUCAAUUUGUUAAGAUUAACCCUAAUUAAUCUUAUAGUUAUUUACACUUAUGCCAUUAAGUUCCCGAUUUAGGGUUUCAUGCACCGAAUUAGGGUUUCGGAUUCCCGGAACUGAAACUAGGGUUUCCAGAACCGAUUUCUAGGGUUUCUUAUCAGACGUUAGGGUUUUCUAACUGAACGUUGUUGUUCUUAAUAUAUUCUUAGGGUUUGUUACAGAUAUAAUUUAUCUGGUCAACCCUUGACCCUUAACCACAUUCUGAACACAUCAUUAACCAUAUACACAGAACUUAAUCACAAAAACACUUAAUCCUGAAUAAUUCACCUAUAAGCCUUCACGAAAUUUUGAAAUCCUCAAAAUUCCAUCCUAAUAACAUCAAACGCAUACACUUAUUUUCUGUCUAGGUCUAAUAUUUGACCUUAAAUCAAUCAUUUAAGAUUUUAAUAAAUUGUCCAAAUUCUCGGGUUGUCACAUUCACCCCUCCUUCUAAGAAUUUCGUCCCCGAAAUUCACCUUACACCUUACACCGUAUACCAAAUAGCUUACACCAUUCACACAUAUCACAUACUACCCAAUUCACCACUCACAAGAGUAAAAGGUUUAAAAUUUUGCUGUGGGGUCAUAUAAGAUCAUGAACUUAUUUUCUCGGGUAUCUAUCAAAGAUACUCAAAUUUCUCGGGUAUCUAUCAAAGAUACUCAAAUUUCUCGGGUAUCUAUCAAAGAUACUCAAAUUUCUCGGGUAUCUAUCAAAGAUACUCAAAUUAAAAUAUUCCCUUUAUAUAAAAGGUUAUUCUGCUCAGUCUUACUUGAUUCCGCAGCAAAACAAUUUGGUUUGGAAAAUUUCUUUCAAUAAAAACAUUUUUGAGAAUGACGUCAUGAUGCCGCACUGUAUUUAACAGUCCGUUGAGGAUUUCGUCAUUUGGUGACUUUGUUAUACUACAUCAUACUGUAGUGGGCUGACGAUCCUUAGAUCACAUUCAACACCAAGUAAUUCUGCAUUGAUAACUCCAUCAUUUUUUUUUAUCAUCUCUGCACCAGGUCACAUGGUACAUAAGUGAUAAAUAAAAACAAUUUUUUUUUUUUAAAAGGCACAUAGUGCGUAUUUAGCUUGAUGUCAAAAAUUGAAGUUUAGCAAAGCUAGGGGUUUAGGAAAACCUAAAUCUCCACUAAUGAUCAUUUGCUUAAACAUUCUAUCUAUUCCUAUUAUCCUUAACACUCCAUUCACACAACUAUACCCAGUUCAUAAAACCACACUUAUGAGUUCAUAACCUGGCCACAAUUAUAUGAGUUUACGAACUUACCCUAGUCUGACCUUUGGCGUCCGUUCGCUGAGGGGCUCAUAAACAUUUCAUAUAACUAUGAGUCAAGAAUGUCACAUAAGUAUGAGUUCUAAGAACUCGUACUUAAUCCUAUAUUCUCUACCUAUGACCUAUUUAUCUGUAUAUAACAACUAGCGUGACACAACAUUUCAAUUAUUACCAAUGCCACCAACUAAGUAGUUUUUACACCAAGUACGAUUCCCCGCCCAUACAAGAAAUCAUACAACUCAGUUGCCGACACGAGUCCUCAUUGAAAUCCCCACCUAAUACUUAACCCCCUUCUCAAUACGAAUUUCAUUUAAUCCGUAUUCAUAAUCCUUUUCUGAAUCUGUACCAUUCACACAGCAAUCAUGCUUUAAACUUUUCAAUCAUCCGAUUGAUUCUUUCUGGUUGUCAUAACUUUAACAGAUCACGGGGUGAUCUCAUCGUAUAUAUUACGAUUCAAUUCUAUGACUAUGAUCGUUUUGUUUUACGAUCUCCUAUCACUGAACUUUUAGUCUUUUAGACUUUAUCUAUUCACCACUUCUGUUCAACCUUAUUACCAGAGUUAGGGAACUCUGUAUCUUUACAACUUACCGAGAUUCGUCUUUGAAUCUUACCGACCAACUAACUCUAUGUGAGUUAGAUCUUAUCCUAAUCACUGCGGUUAUUGGUCUCAGGUAUUCCUACCUAAGCUUCAUAACCAACAGCUUUGAUACCAACUGUAGCGUCCCCCGAAUCCGGGCCCCAAAUCGCCGCGGAUUCGGUUUGCUAAUCUUUCUAUAACUGUUUGCGGAAGAUAUAAACAUAAAUUGUUUAUACAUUACAUUACACACUAUUCCCCAAGGUCGAGUAACCUUAACUUAUACACAUUUCAUAAACUAUUUAUUACAUAACAAUAUUUAUCACAAUACGCUAUUACAAACUAGCUGCACUUUAUAACCCAAGCUGAACUUGGCUUUAAUCGUUUCCUGUAUCCGAACGCUUUCGUCUUAUCUGCAAUGUUUUAUCAUGAUAUAGCAAGGGUGAGCAUGAAAGUUGCCCAGCAAGUUUAAAUACAACAAUAUAAGGAUAUAUCAUGAUUGAAGAGUAUGAAUAAUGGGCUUGCUAUAAUUCAUCAAUAUAAUUGAGAACUAGCACGAACAAAUUUUUGACUGAACAAGUUUUAAACAUGAACAAACAUUUCUGAACCAACUGGUAAUGAAGGUGAUCAGCCUUUCAUACCUGACUUAUACAUGCAAGAUGUACAGAGUACAAUUUUCAUGGCAAUCAGCAAUGAUUUAACCAUAAGCUUGAAUAAAACACUCUUAUUAGAGUUAAG